CAUUUGUGACAACAUGGAUGGACCUAGAGGGUAUAAUACGAAGUAAAAUAAGUCAGAGAAACAACAUAUAAUUUCACUUACAUGUGGCAUUAAAGAACUAAACAAACAGACAUAGAUAUGGAGAAUAAACUGCUGGAUGUCAGAUAGGAGGAGGGCUGGCUGGGUGAAAAAGGGUAUAGGAAUUAAGAAGUACAAAUUGGUAGUUAUAAAACAGUCAUGGGGAUGUAAAGUACAGCAUAGGGAAUAUAUCAAUAAUACUGUAAUAACUGUGUAGUGCUAGGUGGGUACUAAUCGGGAUCGCUUCAUAAAUUACAUAAAUGUCUAACCACAGUACUAUGAAACUAACAUAAUAAUGGAUGUCAACUGUAAUGUGAAAAAAAUUUUUAAGUGUGUGUUUCAUUGGCUAGCUGUCUGUUUUGUGGAUAAAGUUUUAUUGGAACACAGCCACACUCAUUUGUUUAUGAUUGUCUAUGGCUACUUUUACACUACAGCAGAGAUGAAUUGUUCUGACAAUGACUGGACCAUAAACCUAAAAUAUUUUACUAUCUAGUCCUUUAAGAAAACGUUUGCUGGCCCCUGGUUUAUAGAAUUCUUUUUCAAACAUUAGAAAGCAUUCAAAUCAUUUUCGGAUCUUAAGAUUCAGAUCUCAUUCAAAAGGUCUGAUGUGAAACCUUAGAUUCUGUGUUUCUAAGAAGCUCUAGGUGAUGCCAGUGCAGCUGGCUGUCAUGGCACACUUUGAGUAGCAUGGGCUUAAGGUAUAUAAUAAUCUAUGUUGCUAGAGCUAGUUCUUAACCUGGAGAAAUUUUGCCCCACAGGAACAUUUAGCAAUUUCUGGAGACUUUUUGUGUUGUAACAACUGGGAGGACAUAGUAUUAGCCUCUACUGGAUAAAGGCCACGAUGGUAUCCUACAAAGUACAGGACAGACAGUUAAAACAAAUAAGCCAGCCCAAUGUGCCAACAGUGAUGCUAUCAGGAAACCCUGCAUUAUAAGCAGUGAACAGCCUUGAAUGCACAUUAGAAUCAAUUAGGAAGCUAUGAAAAAUGUGAACACCCCUUCUACUUCUGGCUGUAACAGGUAUAAGACCUCACUUCCUGCCAUGAAAACCCAUGAAAUAAAUACAAUAAUAAAAGCAGGCAAAAUAUACAUAGCAAUUUAUCAGGCAGAGAAAACAAACAAGGCUGUGAUUCUUGAGGAAAGGAAAACACAGACCCCAGAAAGGCUACAAUUCACGAUGAUACUCACUUGAGACCAGCCCCCAAAAGUUUAAACAGAAUUCAGCACAUGAUCAAGUUGAACCACCAAUAAAUUAACUGCCCACCAGGACAAAACACUCUUUAAAGGAAUAUAAUAAAAUCUGAAUUUCAAGAACUUAGCAUCCACAGUGUUCAACAUACAAUAAAACUUUACUACUCAUAAGCAGGAAAAUGUUAUCCACAACUAGGAGAAAAAACAAUAAAAAUAGACUCAGAUGUUACCCAGAUGGUAGAAUUAUCAAAUAAGAACAAUAAAACAUCUAUAUAAAUAUGUUCAAGGACUUAGAGAAAAAGUUAAACAUAAUUAGUGAACAGAUGGACUCUCAACAGAAAAAUGGAAAAUAUAAUGCACUUCUAGAACUAAAAAGUACAAUCUAUGAAAUGAAAAAUUCACUGGACAGGUUUAAUAGCUAAUCUGACAGCCAACAAGAGGCCCAGCAAAAGAAUAUCCAAUCUGAAGUACAGCAAGAUAAAAGACUAAUCUGAAAAAUGAACAGAGCCUCAGUUAUGGUAGAAAAGGUAAGGCAUUCUAACUUGCAUGUAUUUGGAUCUUAGAGGGAUUAAAGCAGGAAACAAAGAAAUCAUAGCUGAAACUUUUCCACUUUGAUGACAAAUAACUCAGAUAAAAGAAGCUCAAUGAACCAAAAAGCAAGACAACCAUCCCUAGAAAACCAGAGAUUAAAAAGCAAAUCUUAAAAGCAGCUAGAAGGGAGAUACAUUAUUAUAUACAGGGUCAAUGAAAAGAAUAAUUGCUAACAUUCUCAUCAUUAAAAACCAACCCAAGAAGAUAGGGAAGCAACAUCUUAAAAGUCCAGAACAAAAAAUUCCACACCCAAUGAGGCCUGCAGAAUGAAGGUGAGGGACAUCUUAUUAACAGGCAAGCCAGAAUAACAACAUUCUACUCUAUUCCUCUUCCUAAUUACAUCUAAAGACUAGACAAAAACGAAUAGAACAUUCUGAAAUUGUAGAAUAGAAGGCAGACUGGAUAGGCACCUCAGGAUGUGCGAAAUGACCCAGCCAUGAGUCUCUCAUUGCCAAGCCCUCUUCUUUUUAGUUCAUCCUAUGUAUCCCAGCCUAGGCCAUAAAGCAGCCUACAGUCUGAAAACAAUAUGCACAGACAAAAGGUCCAAAGGUCUACAGGGCAGAUUGACUAUACCUGUUGUACUCUAGGUGAAACCAUAAAAGAAGCUGCACGUCUCCUUCCCACCACGUGCUGUGGAGCCCUGUCAAGUAUCACCACCCUGUACUAGCCAGGGAGCACAUCUAUCCUCCCAACUGAGCACUGAGGAGACUAGAGUAGAGCCCUGUCAACCAUCCCAAUACUAACAAGGCAGUAUCCUGUCUCACUGGGUGUUAUGGCAAUUAUGAGAGAGGUGGCACCCCUCCCUCCCUACCAGGUACUUACUAUAGGGACUACCGCGCAGAGCCUUGUAAACUGUCCUUCUCUGCACUAACAGGCAGAAGCAACGCCUCCUGCAGCAGACCAGACCCUGUGGAGACCGAGGGGUAGAGUCCUACUGACCAUGCCUGCCUUGCAUUAAGCAAAGAGCAAAGAGACAGCAACCUUCAAACACUGGGGAGGAUCCCUACUGACCAUCACUGCCGUGUGCUAAUAAGCAAAUGAUAGCAAAAGAGGCAAUAGCCCACACCCUCCUAACUAGAAAACUCUCCUCUAAGUAAUUAGUAGAACUACUAGAGAAAAUUAGCAAGACUAUAGAAGAAACUGAUGAUACCACAAACCAAUGAGAUCUGAUAUAUAGGACUCCACCACAAAACAAGGGAAAUACGUGUUCUUUUCAACUGUAACUGCAACAUUCACCGAGAGAUCAUUAUCCUGGGUCAUAAAAUAAACCUUAAAUUUAAAACAAAAUUAUACAAAGUAUGUUCUCAGACAAUAAUAUAAAUUAUAAAUCGAUAACAGAAAUCUUCAAAUACUUAGAAAUGAAACAACACACUUCUGAUAGCCAGGGCAUCACAAAAAAUGUCUCAAGUACAAAAUGUCUCGAACUAUACAAAAUAAAAAUACAAUAUAUAAGCAUUCAUGGGAUGCAGUUAAAAUGGGGCUUAGCAAGACAUUUAUAACAUUAAAUGUUCAUAUUAUAAAAAAGUGAAGGGCUGAGAUCAAUAGCUUAACUUACCUAAACUAGAAAAAGGAAAAUAAAUCAAAAUCAAGCUGAAGGAAAGAAUAAGGAAAUCUCCAAGCACUUGAAAAUUUAAAAGCACUUUUAUGAAUAGGUCUAAGAAACCCAUGAGAAACUUAAAAAUAUAUUGAACUGAAUGAAAAUAUCAAAAUAUGUGGGACACGGCUAACACUAUCUAGAAAGGAAAUCUAUAAUACUAAAUACUUAUAUUGGAAAAGAAAAGUCUCAGUUCAAUAAUUGAGACUUAAGUCUCUACCUCAAGAAACUAGAAAAAGAAUAUAAAUUCAAGAGCAGAAAUCAAUGAAAUUGACAACAGAAAAAUAGAGAAAAAAACAAACAAACAAAAGAUGGUUCUGCAAAAAGAUGAAUAAAAUUGAUAAACCAGACCCCCCCAAAAAAGAGAAAACAACUAGUCAAUAUCUAGGAUGAAAGAAAUAUUACUAUAGAUCCCAUGGAUAUUUAAAGGAUUUAAAUAAGGGAAUACUGUGAACAGUUCUUAAAAACGACAGUUCAGACGAAAUGGACCACAAAUUAUCAAAAGCAACUCAAGAUGAAAUAUAUUAGGAGUUGGUAAACUGGUCAGCAGGCCAUAUCAAGUACACCACCUGCACCUGUUUUGUACAGUCUACCAACUAAGAACAGUUUUUACUGUUCUUUUUAAAUGGUAGGGGGAAAAAGUUGUGACACUUGAGAAUUAUAUGGAAUUCAAAUUUCAGUGCCGUAAUUUAAGUUUUGUUGGAACUCAGCUAUACUCAUUUGUUUACGUAGUGUUAUGAUGCUUUUGUGCAACAAUUCAGAGAUGAAUAGUUGUGACAGAGACCACAGAACCUAUAAAACCUGUAUAUUUACUAUCUGGCUCAUUACAGAAAAGUGUGCCAACUCCUGAAAUAGAUAAUCUGAACAUUUUUAUUUUUAGUAAAGGAAUUUAAUUCAUAGUUAAAAAGAAAAGAAGUUUCCAGGCCCAGAUGGUUUCACUGGAGAAUUCUCCAAAACAUCUUUAAAAGAAACACCACCAAUUCUACUCAUUCUCUUCUAGAAAUUAGAUGAAGGAAAACCUCAUUUCUGUGAAGCCAGCAUUAUCCUGAUACCAAAACCAGACGGAGACAAUAGAAUAAAAACUACAGCUCAGUGGUCCUCAUAAACAUAUGUAAAAUAUCUUCAACAAAAUACCAGCAAACUGAAUCCAGCAACAUGAAAAGAAUAAUGUAUCAUGCCCACGUGAGUCUAUUUGAGAAAUGUAAGAUUAGUGCAAUAUUCAAACACCAAUCAAUGUCAUCCACCAUGUUUACAGUAAAGAUGAAAAAUCAUAUGAUUUCACAUGUUGAUGCCACAUCCAUACUUCAGAAUACUACUUAGCAAUAAAAAGGAACGAACUGUUGAUACAUGCAAAACACAGAUCUCAAGGGCAUUAUGGUGAAUGAAAUAAAGCCCAUCUCAAUAAGUUACAUAGUAUGUAAUAUGAUUUAUAAGAGAUGCUCAAAAUGGCAAAAUUACAGAGCUACAGAACAGACCAGUGCUUUCAAGGGUUUAGGAUUAGGGGGUAUUGUCACUAUAAAGCAGUAUAAGGGAGUUUCUCUGUGGUCAUGGAACAGUUAGGACAAUUGAGGUGUCUACUCAAUAUGUGUAAUUAAGUGUGAUGGAACACACACACACAUAAAAACUGGUGACCAAAUAAGGUCUGUAUUUUGAAGUAAACCAAUGUCAACUCCAGGUUUUGAAAAUUAUACCAUGGUUAUAGAAGAUGAUUUAAUUGGGGGAAGCGACUGAAGCGUACAGGGGAGUUUUCUAUUUUUGCAAUUUGAGUCUAUAAUUACUUCAAAAUAAAAUGCUAAAAAAAUUAAUUCAGAAAUAUAGUUCCAGCUUUCUCCACACCAGAGAAAAAGGUGAAAUGAAGAUAUUUUCAGACAGACAAAAGGUGAGAGAAUUAGUCUCCAGGAAAUCUACACUGCAAUAAUUGUUAAAGAAAUUUCUUUAGGCUGAAGGGAAAUGAUGUCAAAUGUAAACUCAGAUUACUGAAGGUCUGAAGAAUUCCAACGACAGUAAAGAUGGGCAUGUUAAAGACUUUCCCAUCUUUUUCAAUUUCUCUGGAGGAAAAAUGACUUUAAAGCACAAUAAUAACUGCAUUAUGGAAUUAUAAAUGUAAAAGCAAAAUAUAUGACAGUAGUACAAAGGAUGGAGGGAUAGAUGGAAAUACGUUUUUGUAAGGUUCUAAUAUUAUAUGUGAAGUGGUAAUACUAACUCAGGGCGGACUGUGAUAAGUUAAAGGUGCACAUUAUAAUUUCUAGAGCUGUGCUAACACAGUGGCCACCAGCUACAUAUGACUCGAACACUGGAAAUGUGGCUAGUCCAAAUUGAGAUGUGCUGUUAGUGUAAAACACACCAGAGUUUGAAGACUUGAUAUGAUAAAAAUAUAAAAUAUCUCAAAAAAAUUUUUGUAAUAAAACAUUGCAACAUUUUGAA